rnacentral:rRNA from 1 species
UACGGAGGGUGCGAGCGUUAUCCGGAUUUAUUGGGCGUAAAGCGUCCGCAGGUGGUUGAGCAAGUCUGCUGUCAAAGCGCGGAGCUUAACUCCGUAAAGGCAGUGGAAACUGUUUAACUUGAGUACGGUAGGGGUAGCGGGAAUUCCAGUGUAGCGGUGAAAUGCGUAGAUAUUGGGAAGAACACCAGCGGCGAAAGCGCGCUACUGGGCCUGUACUGACACUGAGGGACGAAAGCUAGGGGAGCGAAAGGG